rnacentral:rRNA from 1 species
GGAUGCGAUCAUACCAGCACUAACGCACCGGAUCCCAUCAGAACUCCCAAGAUAAGCGUGCUUGGGCGAGAGUAGUACUAGGAUGGGUGACCCCCUAGGAAGUCCUCGUGUUGUGUCAC